GACUAUAAUGCAGUGGUUAGUAUGCCUGCCUGCCACGCAAAGGUUCCGGGUUCAAAUCCCGGUGGGGUCA